AGCGUCUGGAAAGGCGCGCGAUACAGGGUGACAGCCCCGUACACAAAAAUGCACAUGCUGUGAGCUCGAUGAGUAGGGCGGGACACGUGGUAUCCUGUCUGAAUAUGGGGGGACCAUCCUCCAAGGCUAAAUACUCCUGACUGACCGAUAGUGAACCAGUACCGUGAGGGAAAGGCGAAAAGAACCCCGGCGAGGGGAGUGAAAAAGAACCUGAAACCGUGUACGUACAAGCAGUGGGAGCCUCUUAAUGGGGUGACUGCGUACCUUUUGUAUAAUGGGUCAGCGACUUAUAUUCUGUAGCAAGGUUAACCGAAUAGGGGAGCCGAAGGGAAACCGAGUCUUAACUGGGCGUUAAGUUGCAGGGUAUAGACCCGAAACCCGGUGAUCUAGCCAUGGGCAGGUUGAAGGUUGGGUAACACUAACUGGAGGACCGAACCGACUAAUGUUGAAAAAUUAGCGGAUGACUUGUGGCUGGGGGUGAAAGGCCAAUCAAACCGGGAGAUAGCUGGUUCUCCCCGAAAGCUAUUUAGGUAGCGCCUCGUGAAUUCAUCUCCGGGGGUAGAGCACUGUUUCGGCAAGGGGGUCAUCCCGACUUACCAACCCGAUGCAAACUGCGAAUACCGGAGAAUGUUAUCACGGGAGACACACGGCGGGUGCUAACGUCCGUCGUGAAGAGGGAAACAACCCAGACCGCCAGCUAAGGUCCCAAAGUCAUGGUUAAGUGGGAAACGAUGUGGGAAGGCCCAGACAGCCAGGAUGUUGGCUUAGAAGCAGCCAUCAUUUAAAGAAAGCGUAAUAGCUCACUGGUCGAGUCGGCCUGCGCGGAAGAUGUAACGGGGCUAAACCAUG
rnacentral:rRNA from 1 species